rnacentral:rRNA from 1 species
UACGUAGGGUGCAAGCGUUGUCCGGAAUUAUUGGGCGUAAAGAGCUCGUAGGCGGUUAGUUGCGUCGGCUGUGAAAUCCCGAGGCUCAACCUCGGGUCUGCAGUCGAUACGAGCAAACUAGAGUGUUGCAGGGGAGACUGGAAUUCCUGGUGUAGCGGUGAAAUGCGCAGAUAUCAGGAGGAACACCGGUGGCGAAGGCGGCAUACUGGACCACCUCUGACGCUGAGGCGCGAAAGCCAGGGGAGCAAACGGG